rnacentral:lncRNA from 1 species
UGUUGCAAGUAUUCAUAAUGAAUAUUGCAAUGACUUGAAUUCAGUUUGAAUUCAAGGUUCUAUCAAUAUGGCAUAUUGAUAGGGGGAGUUUGUUUAAACUCCGGGAAUUAAGUUUAACUCCGUCAUCAAGUGGUUGUCAUCAUCAAAAAGGGGGAGAUUAUUGAAUCUCGUAUUUUGAUGAUGAAACUACUUGAUAUAUGUUUAUGAUUUAAUCUGUGUUUUGAG